GCUAGAUUUUCACUGGUUACAGAUUGCUGAACGAAUUGCAGCACCUCUGGCCAGCCAUUGCUAGCGAGUUCGUGUUUAAUUACUGUCCCGAUCAGCUGGGCAAUUGAGUUUCGUACGGAUGAUUCAGGUUCACUCAAAAGCCUCUGUGGACCAAACGAGAGAAAUGUCCAGAGAUGAGACCGCUCGACCAUGCAUUAGUUACAUCCAUGGGAUCAUCUUUCGAUUCUCUCCAAAUCGGCACAUGUGGGAUUAUGUGACAUUGCGAUGGAAAGACUGGGAAGCACGUGUUGCUGGGGAAUGGCUCCGGGCUGUGCUCUUCCCGGCAUGGAUAGAGACCAGCGAACCCCUUCUGCUCAUCCCCCGCUUUUCCCCGUCCCCUACGUCGCACGGGAAGCACAGCCUUCCUCAUCGGUUUGAGACAAGACAGUCUUCCAAAGUUUCGACUUCGGCAUCAUUUGCUACACGAGCCACACCAGCUUACCCGGCAGCUAUUUUCGCUCCUCAACACAAGUUUACAUCGUACCUGAUGUAUAACGUAUCAACGGAAAGAAAACUGCACUGGGAGCUUUCAAGAAAUGAUCCUUAUCGAAUGAGAGCAUCACGUCCACUGAUCAACGUGGAGCUAAUCGUUAGUACGGUCGUUCGUUUCAUCGACCUCUUUGUGCGUGAUCUCCAUCCAUGAGAGAAAUCGUUUAUGUCGCAUUACGUGAUAUUGAUUCAAGGAGUAUCGCGUGUCAAGAUAUAAUUGUGCCACAUAUAACCAUCGGACCAUUUCUGCUGUCCGGUGUCGAGAAGAGAUGAAGUUCAUCCUUCUCGCUGCAUUAGGAAGAAGUAUACGAGUGUAAAAGCAAAAAUAGUUCGCAAUUUUCAAUGGUACGAAGCUACCCCGGAACGUGAUGUGAACGGGAGAAAUAAUCCACGGGAUACACUCGAGCUUUUCAAGUGGUUUGAGUGAUCACCUUUUUCGGUAAUCCUCAAACGGACCCCUCGGUUUAUGGCGGACUCGGGAUUCGUAGGACUCGCAUACACGUGCGCUGGUGCAAUAUCGUAAGGACCAACGUAAACAUGGUCCUCCUCCACCGAAUACGCAGACGCCUUCGCAACAUCCCCUCGACGUUUCUUCGAGUGCUAUCGAUGUCUGUCCCGCAAUCUUCGUCCUCAGGAAUGUUCGAGGGUUGCUCUCAAUCUGAAAAUGGAAAACGGGUUCGUGUACGCGAGACUUCGGGGGCAGAGGGGAUAGUCGAGAAUUAUCUCGAGAGCUUUCAACUUUCAAGUGCACCGUGGGGCCACUUCACGAACGCGGACGCUCCGAUUUCCCCGGCUAUACCACGAUGCGCGUAUAAUGGAGACCCGUAAUACGUCAGGGAAUGUCUCGUCGACUCGCAUUUAUACGAUCGCGAGUAUAAGCCUGCGGCCCGAAAAACACGGAGAGAAUGUCUCAGCGGUUCGCGUUACCGUGUGAUAUUCAGGUCAAAAAUUUGGGCGAAGGUCAAAAAUGUCGAGUCUUUACAUUGUCAUGGAUGGGUGGGGCCCUUCCUCGCGGUCAGGGGUCUUUGUUUGAAGCCGCGUUUCAGCAUCCGUUUCCGGUCUUCGUGCAUUCUCCUCUUAUAUUAUAUUUUGCAGCAGAGACACCGACGCGAUUCGUGUGUUGAAAAUUUUUUCAACGAUCGAGUCAGAGAGGUAUACGCACACUGGAACCAUUGUCAAACCAUAUGGACACGUGUCUCGCCUCAAGUGGUUUGCUUACGCCUUAUAUACGCGUUGGUCCUACACAACUUCAGCGCGAAGGGCCACCCGCUGAUCUCAACGUCCCAAAAAAUCUCCCUCCGCUCUUCUUCGGUUUUUCUUUUUUUCUUUUUUAUAUAUUUUUUUUCUUUUUUUUCUGCUUCCAUUAAUCGGUAACCUGCGUCUCUCGAUUUUUCACGAUCGGUAGAAGUUGAAUAGAUAUUUUCAAUCGGCGGUUGGACCUUUUUUUUUUUUUUUCUAUCCAUUUUUAUAAUUCAUCUCGGGGGCAGAAUCUUCUUCCCUUUGGAAGAGGGUACACGUCGCGUACGUCGUACCUCGGCAUGCAAAUCUCAACCGCGCUACAGAGUCACGUCCUACCGCACCUUACAAUAAGGUCCAUUGUUGUGCGUCGAACGUGUACCUGUACACAGAAUCCAUCCACACGUUUGAAGUUAAAACUGCUGAUUGUCAGCCGUGAAUAUGGCGGACUCGGCGAAGCGGCUUUUCAACUUACCGGUUACACACAAUAUUCAAAGGGCUGCAGAAUUUUAAUAAACGAGUAAAUAAUUUUGGUCACGUUCCUGGUAGCGUGUAUAGGAAGGAGGGGGAGAGAGUUUCGGGGUUUUCGUGUGACCUGAGGAAGCUCUCGUCGAGGACCGAACGGCGGGUCACUCUUCAAACAGGAUUAUAUUAAGCUAUUUCACGGUUAAGAAUGGAAUCAAACGGAGGCGUCGAAGAUGUUUUGGUAGGUGGUGUGAACUUACUUAUACUUUACUUCGUGGUACCUUCACUUUUGAAGACCGCAACUUCUGUCGCUGUACACAGUCUCAUUUUUGAGUCCCAAAUUCUUUGACCUUGUACGCCAGUUGACAGGUGAAUAAAGAACGGCGUUAACCCGCGGCGCGCAAACCGAAGAAAAAAGAAAGAGAAAAAGAAAAAAAAACUCGAGAAGGCGCGAGCUCCGUAUAAUUUUUUUUUUGCUUUUUUUUUUCACAUCCGCACACAUCGAAUUCUUUUUUCAUUUUAUUCCCCGAUCGAUCCGCGACGUACUCCGCGUGUUUUCCCACGACCCACUUUAGCUCUUCUUUUCGCGGGGCUUGCCGGGAAAUCCAAAGUUUUCGGCAAAACGUAACGUCGAAAAGAAUUAUCGUCAUCGUACGAACUUUCUCCUCGCGUUUCUUUAUCGCUGGCGCCACGCGGUGCGGGCGAAGCUUUUCGUGGCUUUCGAAGAGGGUAAGAAAUAGGGAGAGUAACAAGAAGAAGAGUGCGGCGUCCGCGACUAUUUCGAGCUCGAGGUGUGAGACGCGUCACUUUCGUCCGCGAUCCUAUACACAUAUACGCAGGUCUUUUGCUACGGCGUAUAGCUUGGAAGCGGUGCGAUCUUUCCUCCGAAAGCUUAAGUGAGAUUCCUUAUACCGGUUUCACGGAUCUUAGUUUUACGUAUAAAACCUGAAGAAUAUCCCGGUUGGACUUCGACGAGGGGCAGGCGGCGAGCUCGAAAUAUCCGCACAGGUCUCACAGCAUCCCCCGAAUCGAAAUCCUCGCGGACCGGGGCCGCACGGGCGCGCCGGUUUCCUCGAAUCGCGAUGGAGGUGAAUUCGAGAGCGUUUAAAAGUCGGUGAGAUGAUGCAAAUUUUUCGGGCGGCAACGUCUACAACUCUUCUACGUACACUGUCGUUUGUCGAAUUAUUUUAACGCCCGAUAUUUCCAUCCGUUCGCGUCAAAAACGCCACGAACUGAUUCUACGCGUCCGCCUUGAAGCGUUGAACGUCGAGACACGCGAGGCUUCGGGCCAAAAUCAACAUAGCUCUGUUGGAGCUCGCCUUUCGCCUCUAGCUCAUAGUAGUAUUAACUCACUAUUUUAUUUUAUUUCGUUUAUUUUUUAUACAAAUCAUCUACUUUUUUUUUCACCCCGGCACGUUAAUGCGCUGCUGCAUUUACGACGGCUUUGUGCUGGAAAAUUACUUCGGCUCUCCUGUGGCGGUAUAAUCGUGGCGAGAUCCCUCCCCCCCCCGAAAAAAUAUGCCAGGAAUUUCGGCACGGGGGUUGAUUUUCCGACCGGGUUGAAGUACGUGGGACUCGAGAGAAGAAGAAUAUUACGAAUUUGGGCUCGUUUGAAGGAGGGAAAACCUUCGGAGGUCCUUCAGGUCCGAGGAAUCUUCUACGAGACCCUUGAGGCCACCAGACAGCUUGGCACCGUUCUCGACGCAGAGUAGGCCGCUCCGAGGUCCUAGAAAAACUGGCCCACCAGAAGAACUCGGAGGACUCGAGUGACUUAUCACCGCGCCACGCAACGCGCUGGUUACGGAGUGAAUCCUGUGUAAAGUUGCUGCUCAAAAACCCCGGAAUUAUCGAGGAACUCCUACGUCGAUUUUCUUUGAAACCAAAAAGAAAAAAAAAAGAAACAAAAAGGGAAGAAAAGUCGUACACCUCUACCGGAAGGUUGUUCAUCGGUAAGAAAGAAAAAUUAAUAUUUCAUCUCCAUUUGAAUAAUGAAUAACGGUAGGAGGUCGGUUACGUGUACGAGGGUCAAGGUUAACCCCGAAGGAAUUUUUAUCCCGUUUCCGCUUCCGGGUUUUCUUAGUCUUGUUUUAUUAUUCUUCUUCUCUCCGCAGACUGUAAUUCUCCAAAGACAGACACAACGUUGCGUAUUUUAUACGUACACGGCGUAGUAUUACUACGUGGUAAGUUUGUGUGUAACUGUAUACAGCGAUAUGUUGAGUCAGGUCGGUGUAUUCCGUGUUAUUUGUAAGUGGCCCCCCACCCCCCUGUUCGCGAGAACGGCGUCGUCGUCUGGUAAUUAAGACAAAGAUUUGUUUAUAGUGGUCCACGAGAACCUCCUAACGCCCAAACGUUCGCCAACCUCAACGUAAUGUUUACUCAAACAAUAGACGCUUAGAGAUAUAUAUCCGCGGGUAUAAAGCAGCCUACGGUAUUACGAAGUCUGUACCCGGGGAGUCGACGACGUCCUUCUCAUCGCUCGCAUUCUUACCCCACUUAACGGGAUCGCGGAAUAUAAAUCCCCUUCCGUUCGCCGAAUUUUCAAAUUUUCACCCACGUCGCAAAGUCUCCCGAUCAUUAUUUUGUUGCACGAUUAUCGCACGUUAUUAAAAAAAAUCCUUUCAGCUGUGCGCUGCGAAAUAAAACGAAAGGAUAACGCGCUGUGAAAUUGUGCGAUCUACGGAAAAUUCUCUCCACGUCAUCAUUCACGGAUCUCACCUCGGAAAAUGGAAGAAGAAAAAAAAAAAGGCUGCAGUCUAGACGAACUUUUGGCCGCGGAGCGGCGUAAUUUUCACAGGAGGAUAUAAUUCUGGGAACGGAUCAUCGAUGCCGUUGGCCACGCCGGGAAUCGCGGGAUUUUUCCGGUUUCCGAAUCGACGGAAAUUUCGCGGCACCGUGCUGCAAGCUUCGGAAAUCUACUCGCGGUAUGCGCGACAGCGGCGAUGCCUCGGCAUUCGGUGGCGGUGAAUGAACCGCGUGUCUCUCGUCGUUUUCGGUUGAGCUCGAGAAGAAAAGGAGAAGAGAGAAGAAAAAAAGAAAAGGAAAAUGAAAAACGAAGGAGAGAAUGAGAGAGAGAGAGAGAGGGGGGGGUAUACCAUAGAAAGAGAGUCAGUUUGGAGCCUGGAUGUUUACGCAAGGAUGAAAUUUAAUUCCAGAAGACCUCCGACCCGCUCCACCAGACAGUGUAAACCUAUCCGAAAGCCGUAUCCGACAGCUAGUCACGGAAAAAGCUUCCCUAUACUGUUCCAAACCUCCGAACAAGUAUAAAAAAAAACAGGAGAAAAGGAAGAAAGGAAGACUACGUGGUGGGUGCACUCGUAAACCGAUGACCGAAACUGCAGUUUUUAUACAGAUGUUUUUCUCCACGUGAGACGGGUACCGAAAAUUUUGGUCGACAGGUCGACGAAAUCCUUUUACCGCAUCAAUGCGACAAGUGCGAGGCACCGUGCAUAAUGGAGCCCAGGAAUUUUGAAAAAAAUUAUUCAUCAUUCUUUGGGAGUAAAGUGCGUCGGAGGUACGACUCUAGGAAUUUUUUCAAUCAUCAAUUACAGUCGAUGUAGGAAUGGUAACUAACAUUAGGCAGUAAAAAGCUCAUUUUUAGGGUCGUGGUCUUAUUUUGACCCCAUGUAAGACGAGGGAUGAUAUAAGCCUGGACAUAAUAUAAGUCUGAACGCGAUAUCUCGAUGAGAUUUAUUACUAGCUUGAUUGAGUGGACAGAUUCGUGUUCCUGAAGUCUUAGAUUCACGUCGAUGCUCUACAUUUUUUCAAAUUUUUGAGCCAAAGAUAUUGUAUUUUGACUUCAGAAAUCCGAAUAUGGAAGAAAAAUUGAUUUAUCUCGCUUUUUCACCGUGACUUUAAGAAUAUCUCUGCGUCAAAAUAUUCGAAUUUAUCAGUCUACGAGCA